AACGAUGGCCAUAGCACCCUGAACGCGCCCAUCUCGUCUGAUCUCGGAAGCUAAGCAGGGGCGGGCCUGGUUAGUACUUGGAUGGGAGAAAGGUGGCAGUGCCAUAUUUC
rnacentral:rRNA from 1 species